AUUGAACGCUGGCGGCAGGCCUAACACAUGCAAGUCGAGCGGUAGCACAGAGAGCUUGCUCUCGGGUGACGAGCGGCGGACGGGUGAGUAAUGUCUGGGAAACUGCCUGAUGGAGGGGGAUAACUACUGGAAACGGUAGCUAAUACCGCAUAAUGUCGCAAGACCAAAGUGGGGGACCUUCGGGCCUCAUGCCAUCAGAUGUGCCCAGAUGGGAUUAGCUAGUAGGUGGGGUAACGGCUCACCUAGGCGACGAUCCCUAGCUGGUCUGAGAGGAUGACCAGCCACACUGGAACUGAGACACGGUCCAGACUCCUACGGGAGGCAGCAGUGGGGAAUAUUGCACAAUGGGCGCAAGCCUGAUGCAGCCAUGCCGCGUGUGUGAAGAAGGCCUUCGGGUUGUAAAGCACUUUCAGCGGGGAGGAAGGCGGUGAGGUUAAUAACCUCACCGAUUGACGUUACCCGCAGAAGAAGCACCGGCUAACUCCGUGCCAGCAGCCGCGGUAAUACGGAGGGUGCAAGCGUUAAUCGGAAUUACUGGGCGUAAAGCGCACGCAGGCGGUCUGUCAAGUCGGAUGUGAAAUCCCCGGGCUCAACCUGGGAACUGCAUUCGAAACUGGCAGGCUAGAGUCUUGUAGAGGGGGGUAGAAUUCCAGGUGUAGCGGUGAAAUGCGUAGAGAUCUGGAGGAAUACCGGUGGCGAAGGCGGCCCCCUGGACAAAGACUGACGCUCAGGUGCGAAAGCGUGGGGAGCAAACAGGAUUAGAUACCCUGGUAGUCCACGCCGUAAACGAUGUCGAUUUGGAGGUUGUGCCCUUGAGGCGUGGCUUCCGGAGCUAACGCGUUAAAUCGACCGCCUGGGGAGUACGGCCGCAAGGUUAAAACUCAAAUGAAUUGACGGGGGCCCGCACAAGCGGUGGAGCAUGUGGUUUAAUUCGAUGCAACGCGAAGAACCUUACCUGGUCUUGGCAUCCACAGAACUUUCCAGAGAUGGAUUGGUGCCUUCGGGAACUGUGAGACAGGUGCUGCAUGGCUGUCGUCAGCUCGUGUUGUGAAAUGUUGGGUUAAGUCCCGCAACGAGCGCAACCCUUAUCCUUUGUUGCCAGCGGUUCGGCCGGGAACUCAAAGGAGACUGCCAGUGAUAAACUGGAGGAAGGUGGGGAUGACGUCAAGUCAUCAUGGCCCUUACGACCAGGGCUACACACGUGCUACAAUGGCAUAUACAAAGAGAAGCGACCUCGCGAGAGCAAGCGGACCUCAUAAAGUAUGUCGUAGUCCGGAUUGGAGUCUGCAACUCGACUCCAUGAAGUCGGAAUCGCUAGUAAUCGUAGAUCAGAAUGCUACGGUGAAUACGUUCCCGGGCCUUGUACACACCGCCCGUCACACCAUGGGAGUGGGUUGCAAAAGAAGUAGGUAGCUUAACCUUCGGGAGGGCGCUUACCACUUUGUGAUUCAUGACUGGGGUGAAGUCAUAAC
rnacentral:rRNA from 1 species